rnacentral:rRNA from 1 species
AACGGAGUACUUCGGUACUUAGUGACGGACGGGUGAGUAACGCGUGAGGAUCUGCCCUCAGGAGGGGGACAACGACUGGAAACGGUCGCUAAUACCCCAUAUGCCGAGAGGUGAAAUGUUUUUUCGCCUGAGGAUGAGCUCGCGUCAGAUUAGCUAGUUGGUGGGGUAACGGCCUACCAAGGCGACGAUCUGUAGCUGGUCUGAGAGGAUGAUCAGCCACACUGGGACUGAGACACGGCCCAGACUCCUACGGGAGGCAGCAGUGGGGAAUUUUCCGCAAUGGGCGAAAGCCUGACGGAGCAAGACCGCGUGAGGGAUGACGGCCUAAUGGUUGUAAACCUCUUUUCUCUGGGAAGAUAAUGACGGUACCAGAGGAAUAAGCCUCGGCUAACUCCGUGCCAGCAGCCGCGGUAAUACGGAGGAGGCAAGCGUUAUCCGGAAUUAUUGGGCGUAAAGCGUCCGUAGGUGGUUAAUCAAGUCAGCUGUUAAAGAGCGGAGCUUAACUCCGUUAGAGCGGUUGAAACUGAUUGACUAGAGUUUGGUAGGGGUCGAGGGAAUUCCCAGUGUAGCGGUGAAAUGCGUAGAUAUUGGGAAGAACACCGGUGGCGAAAGCGCUCGACUGGGCCUGAACUGACACUGAGGGACGAAAGCUAGGGGAGCGAAAGGGAUUAGAUACCCCUGUAGUCCUAGCCGUAAACGAUGGAUACUAGGUGUUGCUCGUUAUCGACCCGAGCCGUGCCGAAGC